rnacentral:lncRNA from 1 species
UGAAAAUCCAUGUUUCUGAGAUCAUAUAGAUAAAGGAUUGUAAAAGUCAUAAAUUCAGAUGUCUCAGCUGGAAGGGAACGCACCGAUGGUGGCAAUUGCAUUUUAAAACCAACUAAUAUUUCUUAGAAACUCUGCUUUGAUAAUACUGACACUGGCUGGCUUUUGCAAAACAUACCAUGUAAAUGUAAUCUCAAGUUUUCUCUCAAUAAAUAUCUCCCUUCAAUUAAACAAAGACUAAUACUUUUAUUUUUUAAAAAUAAAAAUAAAACUUUCAAUGAGACAGGGAAAUCUGAAUUUUUAUUUUAACCUUUUUUUUUUUUUUUUUAAUUAAAGGGACAGGGCCUCACUCUGUUGCUCAGGUGGGAGUGAGGUGGUAUGACUAUAGCUCACUGCAGCCUCGACCUCCUCCCCUGGGCUUCUGUGAUCCUCCCAUCUUAGCCCAGAGUGGCUGGGACUACAGGUAUGUACCACCAUGCCCUGCUAAAUUUUUUUUUUUUUUUUUUUUUAAAUAAAAGAGACAAGUCUCAACUAUGUUGCCCACACUGGUCUCAAACUCCUGGCCUCAAGGGAUCCUCCCAUCUCAGCUUCCCAAAGUGCUGGGAUUACAGGUGUGAACCACCACACCCAGCUGGAAAUUUCAUUUUUUUUUUUUUUUUUGAGACAGUCUCCCUUUGUUGCCCAGGCUGGAGUGCAGUGGCACGAUCUCAGCUCACUGCAACCUCUGCCUCCUAGGUUUAAGCGAUUCUAUUCUUGUGUCUCAGACACCUGACUACCUGGCACUGCAGGUAUAUAGCACCAUGCCCAACUAAUUUUUCUAUUUUUAGUAGAGACUGGUUUCACCAUGUUGGCCAGGCUGAUAUUGAACCUCUGAGCUCACGUGAUCUGUCUGCCUUGGCCUCCCAAAGUGCUGGGAUUACAGAUGUGAGCCACCGCACCUGGCCAAAUGGUAGGUUUUUUAAAAGCUCACAUUAAAAUAUUUCUUUCCAUGUCACCACAUGGGCUUGACAGCAAUAAUUUAAAAUUGGUGUAUAAUAUUCUAUUAGAUUGAUACAUUAUUUACCUUGCUAUUUAUUAGAUAUUUUUAUUUGCUUUAAACUGUUUUUCACAAGUAUCAACAAUUAUGAAUGUCUUCAUUUAUAUAUACCUUUUAACUUUUUGUCCUAUUUCCUUAAAUUUCAUACCCAGAAACACGCCACAUUAAAAAAAGAGUUAUUCUGUUUACAUUAGUAUUGGUAUUACCCUCUGCAAUCUCUAGUUUGUAAACUAAAGAAAAAUUAGUUAUUGCAAUGGGGUGAAGGGAGGGGAGUGUAAGUGGGAGUACAGAAGAAACAGAAUUGGUAAAUGUUCAGUUGACAAUUAUGAAAGCUGGAUAAACAAAUACCUGCAGGGUUUAUUUUUACUACUUUUCUACUAUUGAAUAUAUCUGAUAUUUAUAUAAUAAAAAGUUUAAG